UACGUAGGGUGCAAGCGUUGUCCGGAAUUAUUGGGCGUAAAGAGCUCGUUAGGCGGUCUGUCGCGUCUGCUGUUGAAAACCUGGGGCUUAACCCCGGGCCUGCAGUGGGUACGGGCAGACUAGAGUGCGGUAGGGGAGACUGGAAUUCCUGGUGUAGCGGUGAAAUGCGCAGAUAUCAGGAGGAACACCGGUGGCGAAGGCGGGUCUCUGGGCCGUAACUGACGCUGAGGAGCGAAAGCAUGGGGAGCGAACAGG
rnacentral:rRNA from 1 species